UAAAAAAACAACUUAUAAGUUUCCUACACUUGUCACAUACAAAAAUGUAAGAAAAGAAUUUUAUGAUAAUGAAUUUAGUAAUUUAUCUAUUCAAAUUAUUAGUGUCCAUUAUUUCUUAUUUCUCGUUUUUUGCUUACUAGAUUUCAUAUAAUCGUUCAACACUUCUACCUGUAUAAACUCUUUCUCUCUCUUUUCUCUCUUCACUUUCUCUGUUACCAUUCUUUCUCUCUGUAAUUAUUAAGUUUAAACCAAUGAUAUUAUUAAGGUUGUUAAAGUAAAACACACAAUAUUACAUUGUAUUUAGACAUAAUCUCUAUUACAUUAACAAGUGAUUCACAAAUUACAUUUAUACAAUGUAUAUAUAUAUAUA